rnacentral:rRNA from 1 species
CGGUGAUGCAGAGCUUGCUCUGCUGAUCAGUGGCGAACGGGUGAGUAACACGUGAGUAACCUGCCCUUGACUCUGGGAUAAGCGCUGGAAACGGCGUCUAAUACCGGAUACGACCUUCCCCGGCAUCGGGUGGGGGUGGAAAGAUUUUUCGGUCAAGGAUGGACUCGCGGCCUAUCAGCUUGUUGGUGAGGUAAUGGCUCACCAAGGCGACGACGGGUAGCCGGCCUGAGAGGGUGACCGGCCACACUGGGACUGAGACACGGCCCAGACUCCUACGGGAGGCAGCAGUGGGGAAUAUUGCACAAUGGGCGAAAGCCUGAUGCAGCAACGCCGCGUGAGGGAUGACGGCCUUCGGGUUGUAAACCUCUUUUGGCAGGGAAGAAGCGAAAGUGACGGUACCUGCAGAAAAAGCACCGGCUAACUACGUGCCAGCAGCCGCGGUAAUACGUAGGGUGCGAGCGUUGUCCGGAAUUAUUGGGCGUAAAGAGCUCGUAGGCGGUUUGUCGCGUCUGCUGUGAAAUCCCGAGGCUCAACCUCGGGCCUGCAGUGGGUACGGGCAAACUAGAGUGCAGUAGGGGAGACUGGAAUUCCUGGUGUAGCGGUGGAAUGCGCAGAUAUCAGGAGGAACACCGAUGGCGAAGGCAGGUCUCUGGGCUGUAACUGACGCUGAGGAGCGAAAGCGUGGGGAGCGAACAGGAUUAGAUACCCUGGUAGUCCACGCCGUAAACGUUGGGCGCUAGAUGUGGGGACCAUUCCACGGUUUCCGUGUCGCAGCUAACGCAUUAAGCGCCCCGCCUGGGGAGUAC